rnacentral:tRNA from 1 species
GGGCCCGUAGCUCAAUUGGUUAGAGCCGUCGACUCAUAAUCGACUGGUCGCCGGUUCAAAUCCGGCCGGGCCCACCA